CGGUAAGCUGUAGCAAUACAGCCUAGAGCGGCGGACUGGUGAGUAACACGUGGGUGACCUACCCUUAGGAUGGGGAUAGCCACUAGAAAUAGUGGGUAAUACCGAAUGUGGUUACCGGGCUGUGGCCUGGUAAAGAAAGGAGCUAUGGCUCCGCCUGAGGAUGGGCCCGCGUCCCAUUAGCUAGUUGGUGAGGUAACGGCCCACCAAGGCGAUGAUGGGUAGCCGGCCUGAGAGGGUGAACGGCCACACUGGGACUGAGAUACGGCCCAGACUCNUACGGGAGGCAGCAGCUAAGAAUAUUCCGCAAUGGACGAAAGUCUGACGGAGCGACGCCGCGUGGAUGACGAAGGCCGAAAGGUUGUAAAAUCCUUUUGUCGAUGAAGAAUAAGCAUGGGAGGGAAUGCC
rnacentral:rRNA from 1 species